GUUUCCGUAGUGUAGCGGUUAUCACGUUCGCUUUACACGCGAAAGGUCCCCGGUUCGAGUCCGGGCGGAAACA
rfam:Ciona savignyi cont_36532, whole genome shotgun sequence.